UACGGGGGGGGCAAGCGUUGUUCGGAAUUACUGGGCGUAAAGGGCUCGUAGGUGGCCAACUAAGUCAGACGUGAAAUCCCUCGGCUUAACCGGGGAACUGCGUCUGAUACUGGAUGGCUUGAGUUUGGGAGAGGGAUGCGGAAUUCCAGGUGUAGCGGUGAAACGCGUAGAUAUCUGGAGGAACACCGGUGGCGAAGGCGGCAUCCUGGACCAACACUGACACUGAGGAGCGAAAGCCAGGGGAGCAAACGGG
rnacentral:rRNA from 1 species